UUCCCAGCACUUCCCUUCCGUAUCAGCAGC
rnacentral:piRNA from 1 species